UCUACGGGGCGCAGCAGUGGGGAAUAUUGGGCAAUGGGCGCAAGCCUGACCCAGCAACGCCGCGUGAAGGAAGAAGGCUUUCGGGUUGUAAACUUCUUUUCUCAGGGACGAAGCAAGUGACGGUACCUGAGGAAUAAGCCACGGCUAACUACGUGCCAGCAGCCGCGGUAGUGCGUAGGUGGCAAGCGUUAUCCGGAUUUACUGGGUGUAAAGGGCGUGUAGGCGGGGACGCAAGUCAGAUGUGAAAACCACGGGCUCAACCUGUGGCCUGCAUUUGAACCUGUGUUUCUUGAGUACUGGAGAGG
rnacentral:rRNA from 1 species